rnacentral:lncRNA from 1 species
UUUCUUUUCUCUUUACUGUCGUUCCACCACCACCGGAGCUCCGGUAAUUUUUGUGACAACCAACUACCACCGUCCCUUCUCCCUUUUUUUCAUUUUUGCUAUGCCUCGUCGGAGUUGACCACCGGCGGGCGGGCUUUGGCCAAACAAACGCCGCCAAAUCUCUCUCUAUUUCUUGUCGCUGCCGCCGGACUUGAACACCGGCAGCCAAGCACCACCAUGCCGCCACUACCACGUUCUUUUCCCUCUUUACCCACUGCUCCAUCAUUUUCUUCCAUUUAUGGGGGAUUUGUUACAUCAAAAGUAAGCCAGAUUUGGCCAGAUUUUAUUAUCUGGCGAACGUUGUUGUGUCGUUGUCACCAUGUCGU